CUAUCUAUCUUAACAAAAAAAAAAAAAUCUUUUCUUAUCAGUUUAAUAUCUGAUACGUCUCCUAUCAGGGGACCAUCUAUAUUAAAUUUAUUUUUGUAAUCUGGAGAUGGAACAGUGGCUUGCUCCGUCCACUCCACGCAUCGAACCGUUAUUGCAGUACCUCCGGGAACGUUGCCCAUUUC